UAUCUCUGUAGAGUCUGCAUAUCAAUAAGCGGAGGAAAAGAAACUAACAAGGAUUCCCUUAGUAACGGCGAGUGAAGCGGGAAGAGCUCAAAUUUGAAAUCUUCAAGGUUCUACCUUGACGAAUUGUAGUUUAAAGAAGUGUUUUCUGUUAGAUGAGUAGCAAAAGUUCCUUGGAAUGGGACAUCAUAGAGGGUGAGAAUCCCGUAUUUGGUUAUUCAUUCUAGCUUUGUGAUACACUUUCAAAGAGUCGGAUUGUUUGGGAAUGCAGUCCAAAAUGGGUGGUAAAUUUCAUCUAAAGCUAAAUAUUGGCGAGAGACCGAUAGCGAACAAGUACCGUGAGGGAAAGAUGAAAAGAACUUUGAAAAGAGAGUUAAACAGUACGUGAAAUUGUCAAAAGGGAAGCGUUUGACACCAGUGUUGUUUUUCCGAAAAUCAAUUACGAAUGGCUUGAUUUUGUGUUGUAUUGACCUUAUCAGCUUUCUGCACUUUUUUCGAGUCUUUCUUAAUGCACUUUUCGGUUAACAAGUCAACAUCAAUUUCUUUUGUUGUAAAAGAGUAUUCGGAAGGUGGCUUUCUUUUCGGAGAAAGUGUUUAUAGCCCUAUACUUCUACAAUCGGAGAGAUUGAGGUCUGCAGCGUAGAUCCUUCGGGGUUAGAUACACUUGUGCUAAGUUGUAGCUUUUCAUAGACAACUUGUUGACUAUGUUUAGUCAUGCGGCUUACUCGCUUAUGCUAUUUUACCUACGCUUAGGAUGUUGACUGAUAUGUAGUCGUA
rnacentral:rRNA from 1 species